UUGCACCUUUCAAGCGAGUGGCGAACGGGUGAGUAACACGUGGAUAACCUGCCUCAAGGCUGGGGAUAACAUUUGGAAACAGAUGCUAAUACCGAAUAAAACUUAGUAUCGCAUGAUAUCAAGUUAAAAGGCGCUACGGCGUCACCUAGAGAUGGAUCCGCGGUGCAUUAGUUAGUUGGUGGGGUAAAGGCUUACCAAGACGAUGAUGCAUAGCCGAGUUGAGAGACUGAUCGGCCACAUUGGGACUGAGACACGGCCCAAACUCC
rnacentral:rRNA from 1 species